rnacentral:rRNA from 1 species
CUGGUCGAGUGAUCCUGCGCCGAAGAUUUCCGGGGCUAAAACUUACUACCGAAGCUACGGCAUCAGUAAUGAUGGGUAGGGGAGCUUCCCAUACGGGUUGAAGCAUGACCGUAAGGACAUGUGGACAGUAUGGGAGUGAGAAUGUUGGCAUGAGUAGCGAGAUGUGGGUGAGAAUCCCACAGGCCGUAAACCCAAGGUUUCCAGGGGAAGGUUCGUCCGCCCUGGG